AGGGGGGGGGGCGCAGUGGUACAGUCCAGGUAAACACGCCAGGAGUCUGUUUUCAGAGCACGCGCGUGGGUAAACAGGAGUUUCUGGAAGCAUUUCCGGGUAAUUUGGCGGCACAAACGCUGAGCGGCGACUUUGUGAAUUGAGAAACAAACUUGGAGAAAGAUUUAGGAACCGUCCAACCAUGCAGCUGCAGGAGAGAAGACAUGCUAGCUGCAGCGACACGGAACUCCUGAAAACUGCAGGUCAGCAUCAUCCAGACUGGGAAUUUCUCUGGUGCCACCAACAUCUGCUUUGGAUCUCUGGGUGAAACUCGACGAGGACUAAGAGAAAAUCUUCAACCGUCGGUACGUGGAAGUGACUAACGACUACUUCAAGUCAACGUGCACGACCGGAUUGAAAACGACAGAGCCACUCGUCAGAAUUAUUACUCCUAUUAAGAGGUUUGAUGUAGAGGGGUAAAAUAAAGAAUGAUCCAGUUGAAAAUGAAAA